GAUGAACGCUAGCGGCAGGCCUAACACAUGCAAGUCGAAGGGUAGAACACUUCGGUGUUUGAGACCGGCGCACGGGUGCGUAACGCGUAUGCAAUCUACCUUGUACAGGGGAAUAGCCCAGAGAACUUUGGAUUAAUGCCCCAUAGUAUAUAACCUUCGCAUGUUGGUUAUAUUAAAGUUCCAACGGUACAAGAUGAGCAUGCGUCCCAUUAGUUAGUUGGUAAGGUAACGGCUUACCAAGACGAUGAUGGGUAGGGGUCCUGAGAGGGAGAUCCCCCACACUGGUACUGAGACACGGACCAGACUCCUACGGGAGGCAGCAGUGAGGAAUAUUGGUCAAUGGGCGCAAGCCUGAACCAGCCAUGCCGCGUGCAGGAAGACGGUCCUAUGGAUUGUAAACUGCUUUUAUACAGGAAGAAACAACUCUACGUGUAGAGUCUUGACGGUACUGUAGGAAUAAGGAUCGGCUAACUCCGUGCCAGCCGCCGCUGUAACAC
rnacentral:rRNA from 1 species